CAGCCGCCACGGGAAUACAGAGGGUGCGAGCGUUAAUCGGAUUUACUGGGCGUAAAGCGUGCGUAGGCGGCUUUUUAAGUCGGAUGUGAAAUCCCUGAGCUUAACUUAAGAAUUGCAUUCGAUACUGGGAAGCUAGAGUAUGGGAGAGGAUGGUAGAAUUCCAGGUGUAGCGGUGAAAUGCGUAGAGAUCUGGAGGAAUACCGAUGGCGAAGGCAGCCAUCUGGCCUAAUACUGACGCUGAGGUACGAAAGCAUGGGGAGCAAACAGGAUUAGAUACCCCUGUAGUCCCUGUCUCUUAUAC
rnacentral:rRNA from 1 species